GACCAUGAGAUCAUGACCUGAGCCGAAGUCGGACACUGGACCGACUGAGCCACCCAGGCGCCCCAAGUCUAGGCCUUUUGAGAAACAACUCUUGGCCUUCAGCGGCCCUCCGGGGCGCCCGUGGCCUCACACGGCCUCGUGCGGCACAUCCGGGCUCGUUUCCUCCGGCGGUUUAUGCCGUGGGGGCCGGAGCUCGCCUGUCUCCCAGGGCCUCCCCCGGGACAGCGGCCCCCGUUGCACGGUGACACCCUCUGUGUCUCACUCCCCCCGACGCCAGCCCGGCUCCUCGUUGGGAAGGAAGAGCGUGGAACAGAGGCGGCUUCGCUGUCCGGUCUGGCGCGUGUGAAGGUCAAAGGUCUAGUUGAACACCAACCCUCACCAUGCGGGGCAGACUCGAUCACCGGUCUGCACGAGGGACAGACCUCGCCGCUGGCUCUCGGGUCCGCGGACGGCUGCUGCUUCGUGGCGGUGGUGGUUACUGCGCAUUCAGUCCACAGACAGCGGGCGUGUGGCCACGCUUCCUCCUUGUAUCCCACGUGACCCCGAGGGGACACUGGCCGGCAAGGAUGGACGUGCAGCAAAGGAGACAGACUGGAAGUUCUGGGAGGCACAGCCGGCCACGGGCGGGGAGACUCUGGCCGGCUGGGAAGGAUGGGAGAAGGUCACUGACAAGAACAGUCCGAAGCUGUCCCCGAAGAAGGGGCUCUGCGGACAGGGCCAAGGGUCCAGCCUCGGGAAAAGGCCACCGUCCCCAGGCCGCGCAGAGCUCGCGUGGGGGUGGCAGGCGGGUGGGAACCCCACAGGGGCCUCUGGGCCGUGCCGACUUCGGGCCCGAGUCAACCUCAGUGUGAAUCUCCACUCUGCCACCGGCCAGCUGUGUGACCCCGAGGACCGUCCUCGGGCUUCUUAGACCUCAUCCCAAACGAGGCAACUAACACGUGCAUUUAUAACACCCCCUGACGUGUGUUGGUUGGUGACUGAACGGUGAUGCGUGUGAGGCAACCAGCACCUAGUGUGUGUUCAAGACGUGUCACGUCUCCUCGCCCCUCAGUGCUGCAGUCCUGAGGAACACCCGGGCCCCCAAACUGGACAGCUCUCUGCUGCGUUUAGCCCAUAAAUCGUGUCCCCGGUACUGUGUCUCUUCAACGACCUUCUGUUCACCUGCUGAGCUGGGGGAAUGCCCUCAGAGCUGUCGUCUCAGGGAGUCCCGUCGGGUUUCUGGGAACCUGGCUGCAGCAGGGCACGAUUCUAGAUGGUGGGAGGCCAGGGCCUGGGUGGGGAGCGGGGGGGGGGGGGGGGCCCGGUCAGGCGGGUUAGGGUUCUCCGGUCCCAGUCCGCCCCUGGGAGUGGACGGUGUGUCCCAGCCCAGAGCUGGGAAGGACGGUGUCGAGGGCAAGCCUGGCACGGGUCACCUGCCAUCGUGUCGUUCUGUCUGAGCACUUUCUCCUUGUUUGUAAAAAUGUACUCAGGGAAGUUGAUAUGUUAAAUAAACUAUAUGGAUGCUAUACUAGA